rnacentral:rRNA from 1 species
UAACCUAUGGACGGAAAUACCCUCGGGAAACUGAGUAUACUGCCCAAUAAAACUUUAUGCCGGGAAUGGUUUAUGUUCCAAAUGAUUUACCGCCGAAGGAGGGGACGGCGGCCUAUCUUUUUGUGGGGGAGGUAAUGCCCCACCAAAAUUAUUACAGGUCCGGGUUCUAAAAGAAGUACCCCGAAGAUGGUUACUGAAACACGCACCCAGGCCCUAGGGGGCGCAGCAGGCAAAAAAAUUUUGCAUUGUGCAAAACCCCAACAAGGUUAAUCCGAUUGUUUCCUGCUAAAGGAACUUUUUGUCGGUCCAAAAAACACUGAUAAAUAAGGGGUGGGCAAUUUCUGGUGCCACCCGCCGCGAAAAAACCACCACCUCAGGUGGUCAGGAUAAUUAUGGGGCCUAAACCAUCCGCAGCCGGCUUUGUUA